UUGAUUGCCGAGGCUGGCAAGAUUUGGACUGUCCAGUUCAAUUCAAAAUGAGGAUAGGAUCCAUUUUCCACUUCAAAAACGAAACAAAGUGAUAAACCCCUAAACCAAAUAGUUGACACAAGAAACUGAAAGUACCCAGAAAAAAAAAAGAGAGAGAGAGAGAGAGAGAGAGAGAGAGAGAGAACCAUCGAGGAGGCUUCAUUUGUGGAUCAAGGGCUGGCCAUCUCUGUCUGUAUAGAGACUCCCACACACAAUCCGACCCACACAGCUCGCGCCAAAACCUAGAACAACUACCGAACGAACACACAUCCGAUUCCUUCAAAAAUAAAUGAUUCCAAACCCAUAAUAACAAAAACCCAAAACAAAAAUAAAA